GACGAACGCUGGCGGCGUGCUUAACACAUGCAAGUCGAACGGAGUGCCCUUGAAAGAGGCUUCGGCCAAUGGAUGGGAACACUUAGUGGCGGACUGGUGAGUAACGCGUGAGGAACCUGCCUUUCAGAGGGGGACAACAGUUGGAAACAGAUGCUAAUACCGGAUAACAACACUAGACGCAUGUCUAGAGUUUGAAAGAUGGUUCUGCUAUCACUCUUGGAUGGACCUGCGGUGCAUUAGCUAGUUGGUAAGGUAACGGCUUACCAAGGCAAUGAUGCAUAGCCGAGUUGAGAGACUGAUCGGCCACAUUGGGACUGAGACACGGCCCAA
rnacentral:rRNA from 1 species